rnacentral:rRNA from 1 species
CAGUCGCCGCGGGAAUACGUAGGGUGCAAGCGUUAAUCGGAAUUACUGGGCGUAAAGCGUGCGCAGGCGGUUAUAUAAGUCAGAUGUGAAAUCCCCGGGCUCAACCUGGGAACUGCGUUCUGAACUGGGUAACUAGAGUGUGUCAGAGGGAGGUAGAAUUCCACGUGUAGCAGUGAAAUGCGUAGAGAUGUGGAGGAAUACCGAUGGCGAAGGCAGCCUCCUGGGAUAACACUGACGUUCAUGCCCGAAAGCGUGGGUAGCAAACAGGAUUAGAUACCCCCGUAGUCCCUGUCUCUUAUAC